rnacentral:rRNA from 1 species
GAUGAACGCUGGCGGCGUGCCUAAUACAUGCAAGUCGAGCGAACAGACGAGGAGCUUGCUCCUCUGACGUUAGCGGCGGACGGGUGAGUAACACGUGGAUAACCUACCUAUAAGACUGGGAUAACUUCGGGAAACCGGAGCUAAUACCGGAUAAUAUAUUGAACCGCAUGGGUCAAUAGUGAAAUACGGUUUUUCUGUCUCUUAUAGAUGCAUCUGCGCCGCAUUAGCGAGUUGGUAAGGUAACGGCUUACCACGGCGACGCUGCGUAGCCGACCUGAGAGGGUGAUCGGCCACACUGGAACGGAGACACGGUCAAGAGUCCUACGGGACGCAGCAGUAGGGAAUCUUCCGCAAUGGGCGAAAGCCUGACGGAGCAACGCCGAGUGAGUGAUGAAGGUCUUCGGAUCGUAAAACUCUGUUAUUAGGGAAGAACAAAUGUGUAAGUAACUAUGCACGUAUUGACGGUACCUAAUCAGAAAGCAACGGCUAACUACGUG